AUGACUUUGAUCAGCGUCUUCAUCUGCACACUGGCCCUCUGGACUCAAGGAUCCAGAGGUCAGGUGACUGUGACUCAGACUCCUUCAGUGCAAACUGUUGCUCCAGGAAACACCGUCACCAUCAACUGUAGAACCAGCAGCUCUACUGGCAACCUCCACUGGUACCUGCAGAAAUCUGGAGAAGCUCCUAAACUCCUGAUCUACAAUAUUAAUAGCUUACAACUCAAUGCUCUAGGAGCCUAUUUCGCUAAGAAGGAAGCUGCCGGACUCACGCUCUCACACACGCUGUCUCUGCCUGCCUCGGGCCACCUGCUCAAUGCUGUGUGUGUCACCUGCUCUCUGCACCUCAGGGCCACACAGAGGACAUCAUUCCACCUGAACUUUGACCUGUGA